UCCAUGGUGGCUCAGAUGGUAAAGAAUCUGCCUGCAAUGCAGAAGACCAGGGUUCAAUCCUUGCAUUGGAA
rnacentral:tRNA from 1 species